rnacentral:rRNA from 1 species
CAGUAGCCGCGGUAAUACGUAGGGUGCGAGCGUUAAUCGGAAUUACUGGGCGUAAAGCGUGCGCAGGCGGUUUUGUAAGACAGGCGUGAAAUCCCCGGGCUCAACCUGGGAAUGGCGCUUGUGACUGCAAAGCUAGAGUGCGGCAGAGGGGGAUGGAAUUCCGCGUGUAGCAGUGAAAUGCGUAGAUAUGCGGAGGAACACCGAUGGCGAAGGCAAUCCCCUGGGCCUGCACUGACGCUCAUGCACGAAAGCGUGGGGAGCAAACAGGAUUAGAGACCCCUGUAGUCCCUGUCUCUUAUAU